UUCCACAUGAUCGCAUGUGAUUGUGGGAAAGAUUCUAUCGGCGUGGGAUGGGGUCGCGUCCUAUCAGCUUGUUGGUGAGGUAACGGCUCACCAAGGCUUCGACGGGUAGCCGGCCUGAGAGGGCGACCGGCCACAUUGGGACUGAGAUACGGCCCAGACUCCUACGGGAGGCAGCAGUGGGGAAUAAUGCACAAUGGGCGCAAGCCUGAUGCAGCGACGCCGCGUGAGGGAUGGAGGCCUUCGGGUUGUAAACCUCUUUUGUUUGGGAGCAAGCCUUCGGGUGAGUGUACCUUUCGAAUAAGCGCCGGCUAACUACGUGCCAGCAGCCGCGGUAAUACGUAGGGCGCAAGCGUUAUCCGGAUUUAUUGGGCGUAAAGGGCUCGUAGGCGGCUCGUCGCGUCCGGUGUGAAAGUCCAUCGCUUAACGGUGGAUCUGCGCCGGGUACGGGCGGG
rnacentral:rRNA from 1 species